GACGAACGCUGGCGGCGUGCUUAACACAUGCAAGUCGAACGGAAAGGCCCUGCUUUUGUGGGGUGCUCGAGUGGCGAACGGGUGAGUAACACGUUAGUAACCUGCCCUUGACUUUGGGAUAACUUCAGGAAACUGGGGCUAAUACCGGAUAGGAGCUCCUGCUGCAUGGUGGGGGUUGGAAAGUUUCGGCGGUUGGGGAUGGACUCGCGGCUUAUCAGCUUGUUGGUGGGGUAGUGGCUUACCAAGGCUUUGACGGGUAGCCGGCCUGAGAGGGUGACCGGCCACAUUGGGACUGAGAUACGGCCCAGACUACUACGGGAGGCAGCAGUGGGGAAUAUUGAACAAUGGGCGGAAGCCUGAUGCAGCAAAGCCGCGUGCGGGAUGACGGACUUCGGGUUGUAAACCGCGUUCGCCUGUGACGAAGCGUGAGUGACGGUAAUGGGUAAAGAAGCACCGGCUAACUACGUG
rnacentral:rRNA from 1 species